UGAGGAAUAUUGGUCAAUGGGCGAGAGCCUGAACCAGCCAAGUAGCGUGAAGGAUGACUGCCCUAUGGGUUGUAAACUUCUUUUAUAUGGGAAUAAAAUGUUCCACGUGUGGGAUUUUGUAUGUACCAUAUGAAUAAGGAUCGGCUAACUCCGUGCCAGCAGCCGCGGUAAUACGGAGGAUCCGAGCGUUAUCCGGAUUUAUUGGGUUUAAAGGGUGCGUAGGCGGAUUUUUAAGUCAGCGGUAAAAUGUCCGGGCUCAACCCGGGCCGGCCGUUGAAACUGGGGAUCUUGAGUGGGCGAGAAGUAUGCGGAAUGCGUGCUGUAGCGGUGAAAUGCUUAGAUAUCACGAAGAACUCCGAUUGCGAAGGCAGCUCACUGGACUGCAACUGACACUGAUGCUCGAAAGUGUGGGUAUCAAACAGG
rnacentral:rRNA from 1 species